UGGUGGAGUGAUUUGUCUGGUUAAUUCCGUUAACGAACGAGACCUCGACCUGCUAAAUAGUUUACUAUACCCCUUGGGUAUCUGUAAACUUCUUAGAGGGACUAUCGGUUGUUAGCCGAUGGAAGUUCGAGGCAAUAACA
rnacentral:rRNA from 1 species